rnacentral:tRNA from 2 species
UAGCUCCGUGGUGAAGAAACAUGUUGGAUUGCAAAUCCAGAGACGUAGAUUAAUAGUCUGCCGGGGCU